rnacentral:lncRNA from 1 species
GUGAAAUGCAUGGGAGGAGAAAAUGUAGACUGCAACAAAAUAUAUAUAGGUACAACGAAAAGAACACUGGGAAUCCGUUUAGCAGAACACGAAGCGGACAUAAGAAAGGAAAAGAAAAACACAGCACUCGCACAACAUAUGUUAGAAAACAGUCACACAGCUGAUCUUGCAAACGCCAGAAUAAUAGAUGUAGAAAAGAGAGAGAGGACAAGAUACACACUAGAGAGCCUUCGCAUAUUAGAGAAUAGAAAAAGAACGAUGAAUACAAAAGAAGACACAGAUGAUACUGCGGCUACUUAUUUAUUAUGUUUGUGACAAGAAAAUCAGUAUGACAAGUGUACCAAACGAUAAUGGUACAAUGCUCUAGCUUUUAAGUGUUUAUGUUUUAGUGUUUAUAUGUUUAUGUGUUUAUAUGUUAACAAAUAUACGUAUAUGAAAAUUGGCCCCUGAGGAUGCUAAGGAGUUUAGCGAAACGUAGGGCAAAGCAGUGAAGAAAAAACGUUGUUUUUACUUGCACUAAUCACCAACUAGGCCAAAGAAGCUCAUCAAAAUUAAUAAAA